CAUGGCUGCCAAAUAUCGGCCAGAGAGGCUCCUCCAGUGGAGAGGGCAGGUGAGCCAAAAACUCCCGCCAAAAAUCUCAUUGGAAGCAAAACACCCAAGCUAGAUCCUAGCGCAGUGGGGAUUUGCAGACAGAUAAAAACAAUAAGGGAGAGCACAUAAAUUUUUUGACGGCCUAUUUGAGGUACCUCAGAGAGUGGAGAGAAAAUGAGAGGGCCAACCGCAUACCCCUCAACGAAAAGAGUCAGCCCCAAGAUUACGGGCACGGUUCCUACAUGCAUCGUCUCUCGAAUUUCCUGAAUACCAGGAGUAAAGAUUGCCGACCCCAUAUACACGGCAAACGUUAAAAAACAAACAUCAAAUGUUACUACGAGCUUUGCCCAUAAAGGCCAAUUUUUUGGGUUUUCAGGAUCAUCUUCGCCAUCCCAUGUCACAAUAAUCAAUCCUUCAGAGUUAACCUGGUUAGUUUUCUCGUCGUCAAAUGAAGAAUCGGGGCAACUACUUAACUCAACAUUACUAUUAUCUGUGCAUACUCCUAAUUUCUCCACAUCAACUUGGCGAGUACCGCCAGAAAAGUAUUCCACUAAUUCACCAAAAAUUGUUUCUCUUAAAAACCACAUCCAAUCGGUUCUCAAUGCAAGUUCUUGUUCUCAGUGGAUCGUAAUAAAAACUUGACAAAAUUGAUUGUCAUUACAUUCCUCGUAGAACUUUUGCUUGCCAGACAGAACCUCUUUAAAUAGACCAGUUCUUACUUCAUGUCAUGAAAAUUUCCUUGUUGGACAUUGGCCUAAAUAGCAUGUUUAGCCACUUCUAAGAAUUUCCACUUGCGCUGAUCUAUACACUCGGAAGCAAAAUUCGUUGAAACCGAGGAUAGGUUUAUUCAGUAUUAGUCGAUAAACAUAGAAGCGCUUUGUCGGGAAAAAUGUUAUCUUUGUCCGUCGCAUCGUUUAACCGUAAUUCGCUUAAAAUAUUUACACUAUUCUAGCAGUGGCUUAACUUUUGUCAACACAAUA